GACGAACGCUGGCGGCGUGCUUAACACAUGCAAGUCGAACGGAAAGGCCCUGCUUUUGUGGGGUUCUCGAGUGGCGAACGGGUGAGUAACACGUGAGUAACCUGCCCUUGACUUGGGGAUAACUUCAGGGAACUGGGGCUAAUACCGGAUAGGAGCUCCUGCUGCAUGGUGGGGGUUGGAACGUUUCGGCGGUUGGGGAUGGACUCGCGGCUUAUCAGCUUGUGGGUGGGGUAGUGGCUUACCAAGGCUUUGACGGGUAGCCGGCCUGAGAGGGUGACCGGCGACAUUGGGACUGAGAUACGGCCCAGACUCCUACGGGAGGCAGCAGUGGGGAAUAUUGCACAAUGGGGGGACGCCUGAUGCAGCAACGCCGCGUGCGGGAUGCCGGCCUUCGGGUUGUAAACCGCUUUCGCCUGUGACGAAGCGUGAGUGACGGUAAUGGGUAAAGAAGCACCGGCUAACUACGUG
rnacentral:rRNA from 1 species